AACGCACCUUGCGCCCUUUGGUAAUCCGAGGGGCAUGCCUGUUUGAGUGUCUUGAAGCCCUCAAACCCGAAGGUCUACCUUCGUGGUUUGGAUUUGGACUCGUUGCCGGUCGCGUCGCGUCGGCUGGUCCGAAAUGCAUUAGCUGGCUGCUUAGGUCGGUGAACCGGUGUGAUAAGUAUCACUCGCCGGGUCGAGCCACCUUGAUCGCGGCUGCUUCUAACGGUCCCGCCGGGACAAUGUAUCAAGCGUUUGACCUCAAAUCAGGUAGGACUACCCGCUGAACUUAA
rnacentral:misc_RNA from 1 species